GACGAACGCUGGCGGCGUGCCUAAUACAUGCAAGUAGGACGCAGUUGCGAACGGGCGAGUAACGCGUAGGUAACUACCUAUUAGAGGGGGAUAACCAUUGGAAACGAUAGCUAAUACCGCAUACCAGCAGAAGGACCUGCUUUGUAUUAGCUAGUAGGUAGGGUAAUGGCCUACCUAGGCAACGAUACACAGCCGACCUGUGAGGGGGUUCGGCACCACUGGUACUGAGACACGGCCCAGACUCCGACGGGAGGCAGCAGGAGGGAAUCUUCGGCAAUGGGGGAAACCCUGACCGGGCAACGCCGCGUGAGUGAGGAAGGUUUUCGGAUCGUAAAGCUCUGUUGUUGAAGAAGCGGUACUUAACCAGAAAGGGACGGCUAACUACGUGCCAGCAGCCGCGGUAAUUC
rnacentral:rRNA from 1 species